rnacentral:lncRNA from 12 species
AUGGCUCAUUUGAUAAGCACAGUCUACAUUCCCAGUUUUGCCUUUCCCUUCAGUGCUGGGAGAAGAGAGAAGAGAAAAGAAAACAGGAAAAGGAGACAAGAGCUCACAUUCAUGGUCCUAGAAUGCUGGAACUUGGAAGACUCCACAUUAAGCCUUCUUUGCAGUAACUGGUGAGGAAACACUGAGACCCAAAGAGCCAAGUCAUCCUUGGGGUCAUAGACUGGGAGAACUAUGCCCUUGGUGAAACUAUUUUCAAAACUACGAAUGAGCCUCUCCAUGGAAAGGAAAAGACUCACCUAUCAAUGAGAAGAGUAUCAAGGUCGCAUUAUUUGAGAAAGAUGUGGACUGGGGAUGUCACUGUGGCUGACUACAGAAUACUAUCUACCAAACAAGAUUCUAGUCCCAGUUCUAUGAUUGAACCAGUAAAUGUUGAGAUUUAGUCAUUUGAAGGUCUCACUGUGUCUAGUCAUCCUGGUUAUACACUUUUUCUAAU